UCCCUCAUCUCCUGCUUCUUUCUUGCCAUCAGAACCUCCUUCCGCAACCCACUCACCAGUUGGCUCGAAAUGCCUUUCCUCUAUGUCUACAUAUUCUCCCAGUGGACCUGCCUCGAUUUUUGCUAUUGGGCCAUAUGCUCAUGAACCUCAACUGGUAUCUCCACCUGUAUUCUCUACAUUCACCACUGAACCAUCAACUGCUCCGUUUACCCCUCCACCUGAGUCAGUCCACUUGACUACACCCUCAUCGCCUGAGGUACCAUUUGCUAAGCUUCUUGACCCCAAUCACCAAAAUGUUGAUGCUGGUAAUAGAUUUCCUUUUGCUCAGUAUGAAUUUCAAUCAUAUCAACUUCAACCAGGGAGUCCAGUCAGCAAUUUGAUAUCGCCUGGGUCAGCCAUUUCUGUAUCUGGAACCUCAUCUCCGUUUCUUGACAGUGAGUCUAAUCCUGGACGCCCUCAGUUCCUGAACCUGGAGAAGAUAGCCCCUCACGAAUGGGGAUCACGGCAAGGAUCUGGGACUUUGACCCCUGAUGCAGUAUACCCCAAGUAUCAUGACAGUUUCCUUCUCAAUCAUCAGAACUCUGGUGUUCCUCGUCUUUUGAAGCCGCUUAAUGGGUGGAAAA
rnacentral:lncRNA from 1 species